UUUGGUUCUUCUCAAUGUUUUCCCACACUAGUUAUAUUCUUUCUUUCGCAACUUUGACUCUGCAUUUGAAAACCCCAAAAAAGGGAAGUGAAAAAGGAAAGCAAUUCUGUAAGCAGGAAUUAAACUUGCUACUACUAUGUUUAAAGCACACUUUUUCCUACUUUGGUGUCAAGAAAAUGAGAAACAUGAUCCAGUGAUGCAUCAAAGUUCAAACCUUGGGAUCAGCAUAGUCACUUUUGCUUUCUCGUCAUUCAAAAUUGUCUCCGCUUCCAAUCUACUUAUUCCCCCCAUUCAAAUAUACUAUCAGACAACAUUUCAGCCUUUUGUCUUCUCAAAAUCCUACUAGAGCCAAAGCCUAGAUUCUUCAUGUGCUCUUUUUCUCCUCUUUACUUGCAGUACAAAUAUUCCCACUUACUUUUUCUCCAUCACAUAUGAAA
rnacentral:misc_RNA from 1 species